CUCCGACUAUGAAGCUCUGGAGUCCAGCAUCCUCCGAGUGGUCCAUCACCACGAGCAACGGGCAGGAGGGUAGGGGGUGUCGUGCAUGGCGAUGGUGGUCACCAGGGAGAUUCUUCAAGAGGCAGUGGAGCAGAUCUGUGUGCCGCUGGGGGAGCUGCUAGGAGGCCCUGAGGCUGCAGUCAGAGGAGCUGUGGAUCAAAGAUGGCCGUCGCUCAGUGGACCUGGAGGAGCUGCUGAGGGUGUUGCAGGAGAGGAGCGGCUUCUCACCCUAUGAUGACACAACCAGUCCUAACGCUGGCGAGGCCCAGCUUCAAGGUAUGGAUAUAGAGCUCAUGUUUCUGAAGGAGCUGAAGGAGUUCUCUGAUGGGGAGCUGACCAUAUCGUUCACCAUUGUGUCAGUAGAUCUGAAGAGUGACCGUCGCCAUCCACGCCAGCAGGUGGCAGUGUACUCAGACAACUCUUACAUUCUCAACCAGGUAUGUGUUAUUUUGCAGGCCUACGUAGAUACACACACAUCACCUAGUCCAGAGUUAUAUACACAUCACCUAGUAGAGCGGUAUACACAGAUCACCUAGGAAAUACAUGUGGACACCCUUUCAAAUUUGUGGAUUUGUCUAUUUCAGCCACACCCAUUGCUGACAGGUGUAUAAAAUCGAGGAACACAUCCAUGCAAUCUCCAUAGACAAACAUUGACAGUGGAAUGGUCUUACUGAAGAGCUCAGUGACUUUCAACGUGACACCAUCAUAGGAUGCCACCUUUCCAACAAGUCAGUUCGUCAAAUUUCUGCCUUGCGAGAGCUGCCCCAGUCAACUGUAAGUGCUGUUAUUUUUGAAGUGGAAACAUCUAGGAGCAACAAUGGCUCAGCCGUGAAGUGGUAGGCCACACAAGCUCACAGAACGGGACCGCCGGGUACUGAAGUGCAUAGCGAGUAAGAAUCCUCUGUCCUCGGUUGCAACACUCACUCCAAACUGCCUCUGGAAGCAACGUCGGCACAAUAACUGUAUGUCGGGAGUUUUAUUAAAUGGGUUUCGAUGGCCGAGCAGCUGCACACAAGCCUAAGAUCACCAUGCGCAAUGUCAAGCGUCGGCUAGAGUAGUGUAAAGCUCACCCCAAUUGGUCUCUGGAGCAGUGGAAACACGUUUUCUGGAGUGAUGUAUCACUCUUCACCAUCUGGGUUUGGCGGAUACCAGGAGAACGCUACCUGCCCAAAUGCAUUGUGCCAACUGUAAAGUUUGGUGGAGAAAUAAUGGUCUGGGGCUGUUUUCAUGGUUCAGGCUAGGCCCCUUAGUUCCAGUGAAGGGAAAUCUUAACGCUAUAGCAUACAAUGACAUUGUAGAACAGUUUGGGGAAGGCCUUUCCUGUUUCAGCAUGACAAUGCCCCCGUGCACAAAGUGAGGUCCAUACAGAAAUGGUUUGUAGAGAUCGGUGUGGAAGAACUUGACUGGCCUGCACAGAGCCCUGAACUCAACCCCAUCGAUUACCUUUGGGAUGAAUUGGGCUGCCGACUGCGAGCCAGGCCUAAUUGCCCAACGUAUUCUUCUUCUUUGUGUUUGCCCUGAGGCCAUCAUGUCUUUUCUAUGGAGUGUGUAUGGGCCUUUAAACAGCUGCUGGGUAUUUGUAAAGUAGCACGGACUGUGGAAGCAGAGUUAAAAGCUAUCAAGAGAGUAAGAUGGUGUGUUCUAUGUGAGGGAAGAAUGAGGUGGCUGAACAGGGUAGAGAGAGGAUGUUGACCCGUGUG
ensembl:lncRNA